CCUACGGGAGGCAGCAGUGAGGAAUAUUGGUCAAUGGACGAGAGUCUGAACCAGCCAAGUAGCGUGAAGGAUGACUGCCCUAGGGGUUGUAAACUUCUUUUAUAAAGGAAUAAAACGAGGCACGUGUGCCUUUUUGCAUGUACUUUAUGAAUAAGGAUCGGCUAACUCCGUGCCAGCAGCCGCGGUAAUACGGAGGAGCCGAGCGUUAUCCGGAUUUAUUGGGUUUAAAGGGAGCGUAGAUGGGUUGUUAAGUCAGUUGUAAAAGUUUGCGGCUCAACCGUAAAAUUGCAAUUGAUACUGGCAGUCUUGAGUACAGUUGAGGUAGGCGGAAUUCGGGGUGUAGCGGUGAAAUGCUUAGAUAUCACGAAGAACCCCGAUUGCGAAGACAGCUUACUAAACUGUGACUGACAUUGAUGCUCGAAAGUGUGGGUAUCAAACAGGAUUAGAUACCCUUGUAGUC
rnacentral:rRNA from 1 species